rnacentral:rRNA from 1 species
CCUACGGGCGGCAGCAGUGGGGAAUAUUGGACAAUGGGGGCAACCCUGAUCCAGCCAUGCCGCGUGUGUGAAGAAGGCCCUCGGGUUGUAAAGCACUUUCAGUGAGGAAGAACGCCUGGUGGUUAAUACCCAUCAGGAAAGACAUCACUCACAGAAGAAGCACCGGCUAACUCCGUGCCAGCAGCCGCGGUAAUACGGAGGGGUGCGAGCGUUAAUCGGAAUUACUGGGCGUAAAGCGCGCGUAGGUGGCUUGAUAAGCCGGUUGUGAAAGCCCCGGGCUCAACCUGGGAACGGCAUCCGGAACUGUCAAGCUAGAGUGCAGGAGAGGAAGGUAGAAUUCCCGGUGUAGCGGUGAAAUGCGUAGAGAUCGGGAGGAAUACCAGUGGCGAAGGCGGCCUUCUGGAUUGACACUGACACUGAGGUGCGAAAGCGUGGGUAGCAAACAGGAUUAGAUACCCGAGUAGUC